AAUAUCCUUUUAACAAAUUAUGCGUAUUUAAGGAGAUACGGCUGCGCAUGCGCAGAACGUAUCUCCUUACCUUUGUACUUUUUGGUAAGAAGAUGUUAACAAAGUUGUUUGUCUUGAUGAGGGCUACAACUUUGCUUAAUAUCCUUUUAACAAAUUAUGCGUAUUUAAGAAGAUAGGUCCGCGCAUGCGCAGUAAGUAACUCCUUACGCUUGCAUUUUUUGGUAAGACGAUGUU